UAUAACAGCGGAGAGUUUGAUCCUGGCUCAGGAUGAACGCUAGCGGCAGGCUUAACACAUGCAAGUCGAAGGGCAGCGGGGG
rnacentral:rRNA from 1 species